rnacentral:rRNA from 1 species
UACGUAGGUGGCGAGCGUUGUCCGGAUUUACUGGGCGUAAAGAGCGCGCAGGCGGUCGUACAAGUCGCGUGUGAAAGCCCCUGGCUCAACUGGGGAGGGUCACGCGAUACUGUUCGACUCGAAGGCAGGAGAGGGAAGUGGAAUUCCCGGUGUAGUGGUGAAAUGCGUAGAGAUCGGGAGGAACACCAGUGGCGAAGGCGGCUCGCUGGGCCGGACCUGACGCUGAGACGCGAAGGCGUGGGGAGCGAACGGG